UACGUAGGGCGCAAGCGUUGUCCGGAAUUAUUGGGCGUAAAGAGCUCGUAGGCGGUUUGUCGCGUCUGCUGUGAAAACCUAAGGCUCAACCUUGGGCUUGCAGUGGGUACGGGCAGACUAGAGUGCGGUAGGGGUGACUGGAAUUCCUGGUGUAGCGGUGGAAUGCGCAGAUAUCAGGAGGAACACCGAUGGCGAAGGCAGGUCACUGGGCCGCAACUGACGCUGGAGGAGCGGAAAGCCGUGGGGAGCGAACAGG
rnacentral:rRNA from 1 species